GACAGUGGGAACCAGACCACCUGGGUGAUCCUAGUGGGCUUCGGGGAGCUGCAAUACCUGGGCUUCCUUCCCUUCACUCUCUUCCUGGCCAUCUAUGUGGUGACAGUUGGGGGCAAUGCCCUCAUCAUGCUGGCUGUGGCCUCUAGUCGGACACUGCACCCACCAAUGUACUUCUUCCUCUGCCACUUCUCCCUGCUGGAGAUUGGCUAUACCUCCAACGUCAUAUGUGGCUGUUGCAGAGUUUCUUGGAGGGGAGGGAAGUCAUCUCGCUAGUCAGCUGUCUGGCUCAGUACUACGUGUUUUCCUCGCUGGCUGCAGCUGAGUUCCUCCUGCUAUCUGCCGUGUCCUGUGACUGUUACUUGGCCAUCUGCUGCCCCCUUCACUAUCCUGCCCUGAUGAGCACCUGGUUUUGUCACUGCCUGGCCGCUGGUGCUUGGUUCAGUGGAUUCUUCUCCUCUGCCUUCACUAUGGCCCUGGCAGCACCUCUGUCCUGGCAGCAGGGAGAUUGACCACUAUUUCUGUGAGUUUGCUCCAGUAGUCAGGCCGUUCUGCGGGGAUGUGGGAGUCAUGUAGGGAGCUGAAGUCAGCAUCUCAGGCUUCCUGACACUGGCCCCCUUCCUACUGAUUGUGGCAUCCUAUGCCUUCAUUGAGGGCUGUACCGCAAAUACCUUCAGGCCAUGGGAGGCAGAAAGCCUUCUUCACCUGUUCCUCCCACCUCACCGUAGUUGGGGUAUUUUAUGGCACCCUCAUUGUGGUCUAUGUGGCCCCAACAGAAUACAUGUCCCCUUGCUUCUAAAGGUCUUCUCUGUCCUCUACACAGUGUUCACUCCCAUGGUCAACUCCAUCAUCCACAGCCUCAAGAACCAAGAGGUGAAGGGGGCUCUGCAUAGGCUC
rnacentral:sRNA from 1 species